UAGGGAAUCUUCCACAAUGGACGCAAGUCUGAUGGAGCAACGCCGCGUGAGUGAAGAAGGUUUUCGGAUCGUAAAGCUCUGUUGUUGGUGAAGAAGGAUAGAGGCAGUAACUGGUCUUUAUUUGACGGUAAUCAACCAGAAAGUCACGGGCUAACUACGUGCCAGCAGCCGCGGUAAUACGUAGGUGGCAAGCGUUGUCCGGAUUUAUUGGGCGUAAAGCGAGCGCAGGCGGAAUGAUAAGUCUGAUGUGAAAGCCCACGGCUCAACCGUGGAACUGCAUCGGAAACUGUCAUUCUUGAGUGCAGAAGAGGAGAGUGGAACUCCAUGUGUAGCGGUGGAAUGCGUAGAUAUAUGGAAGAACACCAGUGGCGAAGGCGGCUCUCUGGUCUGCAACUGACGCUGAGGCUCGAAAGCAUGGGUAGCGAACAGGAUUAGAUACCCUGGUAGUCCAUGCCGUAAACGAUGAGCGCUAGGUGUUGGGGACUUUCCGGUCCUCAGUGCCGCAGCAA
rnacentral:rRNA from 1 species